GUGGGGAAUAUUGGACAAUGGGCGAAAGCCUGAUCCAGCCAUGCCGCGUGUGUGAAGAAGGUCUUCGGAUUGUAAAGCACUUUAAGUUGGGAGGAAGGGCAGUAAGUUAAUACCUUGCUGUUUUGACGUUACCGACAGAAUAAGCACCGGCUAACUUCGUGCCAGCAGCCGCGGUAAUACGAAGGGUGCAAGCGUUAAUCGGAAUUACUGGGCGUAAAGCGCGCGUAGGUGGUUUUGUAAGUUGGAGGUGAAAUCCCCGGGCUCAACCUGGGGACUGCCUCCAAAACUGCAUGACUAGAGUACGGUAGAGGGUAGUGGAAUUUCCUGUGUAGCGGUGAAAUGCGUAGAUAUAGGAAGGAACACCAGUGGCGAAGGCGACUACCUGGACUGAUACUGACACUGAGGUGCGAAAGCGUGGGGAGCAAACAGGAUUAGAAACCCGGGUAGUCC
rnacentral:rRNA from 1 species